rnacentral:rRNA from 1 species
GACGAACCGUGCAAACGUUAUUCGGAAUCACUGGGCUUAAAGGGCGCGUAGGCGGCCUCCGCAAGUCAAUUGUGAAAUCUCCGGGCUUAACUCGGAAAGGUCAACUGAUACUGCGGGGCUAGAGUGCGGAAGGGGCAACUGGAAUUCUUGGUGUAGCGGUGAAAUGCGUAGAUAUCAAGAGGAACACCUGCGGCGAAGGCGGGUUGCUGGGCCGACACUGACGCUGAGGCGCGAAAGCUAGGGGAGCGAACGGG